rnacentral:rRNA from 1 species
CGACUACAUGAAGCUGGAAUCGCUAGUAAUCGCGGAUCAGAAAUGCCGCGGUGAAUACGUUCCCGGGUCUUGUACACACCGCCCGUCACACCAUGGGAGUCGGAAAUGCCCGAAGCCGGUGACUCAACCUGCAAAGGAGAGAGCCGUCGAAGGCAGGUCUGAUAACUGGGGUGAAGUCGUAACAAGGUACC